CUUCUAUGUGAGAAUUUAUAGCUGUUAUGCUUUUUGCAGGAAAAAGAACAAUUUAUCAUUUCACAACUGAAAGCAGAAGGCUUGACUCCUCGUGAUGAAGAAGGUCGGCGGCGCUCCCUGGACAGUGAAGUGAUGGCCGUGUUUUACAAAGGCUUCUUGGACACAAACAGAGUACGACAUUCGAGUUAUAACAAUGAAUGGUACCGACGUAACUUCACCAUCACCAUGCUCAUGGCCCGCGUCGCUCUGAGGAACAUCUGGAGGACUGUUACUAAAAGAAACAACAAGAAUAACAGCACAUCUACCACCUGAUACACAAAUAAAAUAUCUACCCACCCUCCUA